UGGGGAAUAUUGCGCAAUGGGGGAAACCCUGACGCAGCAACGCCGCGUGAUUGAAGAAGGCCUUCGGGUUGUAAAGAUCUUUAAUCAGGGACGAAACAAAUGACGGUACCUGAAGAAUAAGCUCCGGCUAACUACGUGCCAGCAGCCGCGGUAAUACGUAGGGAGCAAGCGUUAUCCGGAUUUACUGGGUGUAAAGGGCGCGCAGGCGGGCCGGUAAGUUGGAAGUGAAAUCUAUGGGCUCAACCCAUAAACUGCUUUCAAAACUGUUUUUCUUGAGUAGUGCAGAGGUAGGCGGAAUUCCCGGUGUAGCGGUGGAAUGCGUAGAUAUCGGGAGGAACACCAGUGGCGAAGGCGGCCUACUGGGCACCAACUGACGCUGAGGCUCGAAAGUGUGGGUAGCAAACAGGAUUAGAUACCCUGGUAGUCCACACCGUAAACGAUGAUUACUAGGUGUUGGAGGAUUGACCCCUUCAGUGCCGCAGUUAACACAAUAAGUAAUCCACCUGGGGAGUACGACCGCAAGGUUGAAACUCAAAGGAAUUGACGGGGGCCCGCACAAGCAGUGGAGUAUGUGGUUUAAUUCGACGCAACGCGAAGAACCUUACCAAGUCUUGACAUCCCUUGACAGGCAUAGAAAUAUGUUUUCUCUUCGGAGCAAGGAGACAGGUGGUGCAUGGUUGUCGUCAGCUCGUGUCGUGAGAUGUUGGGUUAAGUCCCGCAACGAGCGCAACCCUUAUGGUCAGUUACUACGCAAGAGGACUCUGGCCAGACUGCCGUUGACAAAACGGAGGAAGGUGGGGAUGACGUCAAAUCAUCAUGCCCUUUAUGACUUGGGCUACACACGUACUACAAUGGCGUUAAACAAAGAGAAGCAAGACCGCGAGGUGGAGCAAAACUCAGAAACAACGUCCCAGUUCGGACUGCAGGCUGCAACUCGCCUGCACGAAGUCGGAAUUGCUAGUAAUCGUGGAUCAGCAUGCCACGGUGAAUACGUUCCC
rnacentral:rRNA from 1 species